CAACUCCCAACUUAUUACCCUGUUUAGCUCUAUUCUCCUUGUUUACAUAGUAGCCAACAACCCCCAUGGAAGUAGCAGCAGUAUCUAAAGUGUCUAAGGUAUGUUGAUCCGUUGAAUUAUUUGCACCGGAUGAUAUUUUUUGAUAUCACUCUUUAAAGUUUGGCCUCUGUUAGCCUAGUGGCUAAAUAGUUUGUUUUUGAAAAUAAUUGAGUAAUUUUCUUGCAGUUAAAUUUAAUUCACUGAAAUAGUAAAAAUUGAAAGGUGGACUCAAAAAAGCCGAAACUCCUCAUAUUAUAUUUUUGAAAGGUAUUUUUGACCUUUUUCAUGGUGAUUAAUACUAGUAAUAUUUUCUUCACAAAAGAAAAAGGAGUUGCUGAGAAACAGCUUAACUGCAGCUCGACAGUGCUCUAACAACUACUGGUUUUUUCUGCAUGCUUUCUUGAACAUCAUGUUUUGUAGAUUAGUUAUACUAGAAUUUAGAAUGGUUAACUAAUGUAUCUCUUACAUAUAUGUUAUGUAUUAUUAUAUAUGGAGGAGGAAAAUGUUGCUGCAGACUGAAAUACAGUACUGAACAGCAAAGGAACCUUAUUGUGUGAUUGCAGCUUUAAAUAUUCCAUAUCUAGAUAGCUACUCUUGCUUCCACUUUAUCUUUUAAUUUAUUAAGAGGAAUAGGUCUUAUUUUGAUCCUUAUCCCUUUUUCGGUGGUCCUCAUUUUUAUUAAGGCAUUCGUCGAUGACUAAUUUUAUAUAGCAAAGAAGCUUCUCCUCAUCUACUCUUUUUCACCUAAUAGAACGAGAAAUAAGGAUUACAUAUGGUGAAAGUAUAGCUGUCAACCGGACUGGCAGGUCCGGGCUGGACACGAAAAAAACAGCUUGUCCGGUUAGUAUUCCGGGCGGCAUAGUGGUUGUUAACGGGUUGAGAAAAAUUCGCGUUAAUUAGGGCCCUUCUAGAUUCAGACUUUACGGCUUACGGGUCGGGGCUGGGCCGAGUUACUUUUUCUUUAGUAUAUUAUAUAAUUUUAUUCAAUGUUAUUGAUAUUUAUGUGUUUGUAAAUUUUUAAGGAUUAUAAUUUUAUAGUGACUAAAGUAAAUAUUUGAUGAAACUUUAAAUAAUAAGUAAUUGAGAAUUUAAGAGCAACAACAACAACAACAACCCAGUGUAAUCCCACUUAAUGUGGUCUGGGGAGGGUAGUGUCUACGCAGACCUUACCCCUACCCUUGGGUAGAGAGGCUGUUUCCAAACAGACCCCCGACAUCCUUCUCUCCAAGAACUUCCCACCUUACUCUGGGGGAGACUCGAACUCACAACCUCUUGCUUACCAUCAGAGCAACCUCUCUUUGUCUCAAUAAUGCAUGGCUCAUAGAACUUCCCACCUUGCUCUUGGGGAGACUCGAACUCACAACCUCUCCGGGGGUUGCUUACCAUCAGAGCAACCCCUCUUGUCAUUAAUUGAGAAUUUAAGAGCAAUAAGCAAUAUUAUCGAGAGAGAAUUGAGGUAUUUAUUAUAGUUUUAAAAGGUUAAUAUUGUAAUUUAUCAAUUAUUAGGGGUAAAGGCGCUAUUUUCUUAAGGAGGUAGGCCGAAAUGGCCAAACAUACAAAAAUGGCCGUUGCCCAACAGUCAUUUUUGAAUUUGACCGUUGGCAACGGUCAAUUUUUUUUUUUUUAAAAAUCCAGCGGUAACCAGGCUGGAUCGAGUUAUAGCCAGUGACAGACGCACGUGGUGGCAAACAGAUUCAAUUGAACCCGCUUCACAAAAAAAUAAUAUUGUGUACAUGUAUAAAUUAUAAUUAAAGCAGUGUAAAUUUUGUAUAAAUAUUUUAUUUGAACCCACUUGAUAACUACACUUUUAGGACUAAAGUUAUGUCCUUGUAUGAUUGAAAAUGCUUGUAUUAAAUUCUGAAUUUGCCACUGGUUAUAGCCUGGUAAAAACCCGGUAGUGGGUAACUGGUCUAACCGAGUUUUGAGGCACCGAUUACCAAAAUAUGUUCGUUUUGUUCCGGCUCCCCAACCCGUUCCACCCUCCUAGCAUACAGGGGUGACCUAUGCUGAAUCAGGUUGAAUCAGGCAGUCAUUGGGCUGGCCCGGCCAGAUUAACAGGUAUAGGUGAGACCAUCUCCAAGGUUGCACCAUUUCUUGCACCAAAUCCAAAUUUGAUGCAAGAAAUGAUAUUUUUUUGCUCCAAUGCAACACUAUUUCUUGCACUAUUAUAGAGCAUGAUUCAUCACUCUAUAUUUGAUUUAUUAAUAUUUUAUUCAAUCUUUUUAUUUUUAUAGUUUUAAUUUAUCAUAUAUUGUGUAUAUAAUUAAUUUAUAUGUUAAGAUCUUUAUAAUUUUAAUUUUAUAUUCUAUUUUUUAUAUAUUGAUUUUUGUAUAGAUAUUAUAGUUAUAUAAAAUUAUAAGUUAAUUUUAUUAUUAUUUUAUUUGUAUAAAAAGAAAUAUAACCAUUAUUUAAAAUAAAAAAUACAAAUAUAAGAUAGCUGAUGUUGCUAAUUGAAAAGUGAAAACCAAAAUUUAAAAAAGAAAAUAAAAAAUACAUAAAAAUAAAAAUACAUUAUUAUUAAAGUAUAUAAAAGGAGGAUACAUUAAAAUUGAAAUUACAUUAAAAGAGGUCCUACAUGAUAUAGUGACCACAUAUAUUAUACUGCACAACAUGAUAAUUGAGGAUGAGCGUGAUCUUAAUGCACCAAUUGAAGAUGCACGUGAAUGUCCAGCUCCUACGGUAGAAAUGACAAUAGAUGAAGAUCGAUUUGAAUAAUUUUUAGCCCGACACAAUAAAAGUAAGGAUAACGAUGCGCAUUUCGCACUUCAUAUAGUAGAUGAAGAUCAUCGAUUUGAACAAUUUUUAACUCGACACAAAAAAAUUAAGGAUAAAAUUGUGCAUUUCGCACUUUGUAAUGCAUUAAUCGAGCAUUUAUGAGAGAAUAAAGGCGAAAGUUAAAUAUUUAUAUGAUACUUAAAUUAAACUUGACUAUGAUGUAAUAUAUAUUUAAUUAUCUUUUGUUAAUAAUUUCACUUUUAGUUGAUUUAUCCUUUAAAAUAAUUUUGUAAUUAAUGAUUAUAUAAGUGGUGAAUGUGAGUUAUAUAUAAUGAAUAUGGAAAAAAAAGAUAGUAUUAGUUUGAAGGAAAUAAAAGAUGAAAAAUAAAUAGAAGAUAAUAGUAUAAUACAGAAGAGAGAAGAUAUGGAGUAAAAAAUGGUGUAAUGAUUGAAGUAAUUUUGGUGUGAAAUUUGGUGCAAGAAAUGGUGCUAGCCUUGGAGAUGGCCUAAAAUGGAAAGAAAAGAAAAUCAUAUCUGAUGAGUGUCUUCUCGGAUGAAAAGGCCAUUUGAUUUGGGAAUUUUUACCUCUUAUUGCAAAGGUUAACACCUUAUUUAUUUUAAAUAACCAUUUAAAAAAAUUAUAUUCUAUAGAUAUCUUUUAAAGUUUAUAGCAAAUUAUUUUUUGUUACCUCCUAACUUUAAGCGGUUAAAUACGCUAAUCAUUUAUAUUAUUUUCUUUCUCUCUCUAUUCACUUAACUAGUUCAUCCAAUUUUCAAUGAACUAGUCAUCCUUCAAACAAAUUGCAGUCUGCCAAAUUUCCGAUUGGUUUGUACAACAUCAGCCGCCGCCGACAAAAUUGAUUAAUUACCAUGAAAAUUUUAACAAAGGUAGUGUUGGAUUAAUGGAAAAUAAUAUUCCUCUCUUGUUUUCGACCAUGAAAUAUUAGAGGAAGAUGUUCCUGGAUAUACAUUUGCUGGUUUUGAGAAAGGAGAAGAAUUUACUGAUGAUUCAUCCGGAUAUACAUAUGAUGGUUAUAUUAGAGGAAGACGUUCCUGCAUAUACAUCUGCUGGUUUUCAGAAAGGAGAAGAACUUACUGGAUAUACAUCAGCUGGUUUUGAGAAAGGAGAAGAUGUUCCUUAGCUCUUUUAAUCUUGUUGGUUUCUUACUACCAGCUUCCGAUGAACGACGAAUUCUUCGAAAAUUAGGGUUUGUUCUUGAACAAAGAUGAUGGAGUUUAGGGCUGAGCAACUUGAUUUUCUAUUAAUACAUUGCAAUGUAUUUUGAUAUAUUUCAUUGUAUUCAUGUCUUUUUUUAAUUGUAAUUCAAUGAAUCUCGUUGUAUUCCAUGUAUUUCAUUGUAUUCACUAUCUUUUUUCUCAUUGUAUUUCAAUGUAUUCCGGAG
rnacentral:lncRNA from 1 species